ACUCGCUUCUUCUAUUUUCAUGGCCACGAUUACCACCAGAGUGGUUGUCGCUCUUGUCAGUAUUUUUCUUUCUCCGCUGGUUAUCGUUGUUCUGAUGACUGCUGUCACUGGUAUGAUCCUGGUUGCGGUCUCUUGGUUGAACGUACUCGCAUCUCGCUCUAAUAAUUGAGCCCUGUUGACAACAUCUGAAUAUAAAGAAAAUUUAUGAGAAAUAAGAUAUUGCCG
rnacentral:lncRNA from 1 species